AGACAUUAGAAGAAAUCCGAAGCAGUCAUUUGGAGUCCCUGAAAAAGCAGUUAGAAGAGAGAACUAGAGAUCUUGACCGUGCACUGGGAAGGAUAAAAAGCAACCAAGCAGAAAGACCUUUUCAAAAAGAAUCCAGCCAGGCAGAAGUGGAAAAGUAUAAAGAGCUGUAUGUAGUGGAAGCGAAAAGCAGAAAAAGCCUAGCCAAGAGACUGGAAAGAGCUAAUGAGAGACUUGCAGAGGCCAACACCAAGCUCCUUUGGGAGCGCCACAGAAGCAAAUCUGCAGUCCCAAGCAGCACCGUCAGCAGACACCUGGCUGCAAGUCCACUUCUGGAUUCAACUGGCCUGGGACAUCUUGGCAUCAGUUUGGGACUGAGCAGAAGCCUGGGUCUCAGAACACCACUCAGCCAUCUGUGGUAAAGUGGAAGACUUCCGGUCAUCAGGUUUGUCCAAAUUUUCCAGAGUGGUCCAAGGCCCAAAACUACGGAAAUGGAAGCAAUGAGCUGUGGAACUCCAUUCUUUGACAAGAGAAACUGUGGGAAAGAGCACUGUGGGGCAGGAACCUCCCCCCUAAGUUCUCCACUAAAUUGACACGUAUGGUGUGUGUGACCUAUUUGAAAUGGCUGAUGUCAGCGUGAGUGCCAAAUGCCACCAGACAUCUGUGAGACACCUUUUUCUUCAUCAGUGAUCUUCGUUCUAGCAGUUUCUUCCCCGGACCUUGCUUUAAUAUGUUACUCUGGAUAGGAGGCAUUUGCUGGUGUAGUUCCUGCUACGUCUUCCUCCAUGAAACAGCAGAGCUCCCUACUCCUUGGGAAGUCUUCACGGCCUUCUAAUUUUGCAGCAAUGCUGCAAGCUCUGCAAUACCGCUGGUCCAAGUAUGGCCUGUAGUCAGCAGUCAGUGUGAUAGCACAUCCCUGCCAGAAUGCAGAGCAUGAUAGCAGCAGAGGUGGAAACCCCCCGCCAGGAGUUGUAAUCAGCGGGACAGGCACGUAGCAUGGGCUUGAGGCAUGGGCAAGCAGGAGGCUUGGAAGCGGAUGAUCUUUAAGGUUGCUGAACUUUCCCAGCAGCUGGAGAGAGAAUGUCAAAAGCGCAUGCAGCUGGAAGCCACAAGUCAGGGUUUGCAAGACGAUCUGUCUAGCCUGCGUGGGAAGUGGGAAAACCUGGAGAAGAGCAAAUGCCAGCUGCAAGAAGAGCUGGCAAAGCUCCAGCAUCAUUUGGAGACCAAUGUGGUGGAUGGCAGCCAGAUCAUGGCUAGGCUUGGCCAACGAAGAUUUGGAAGGGCUCUCCCCACAUUUGCUACAAGUGCACUGGUGGCUAAAGAGACCAAUGCAAGACAGACAAGAUGGGUUGCAAAAGGCACAGCAGAAAGACUCCUGGGAUGGGAUUGGCAAGACGCGAUUCUUUCUGCGUUGUCUUCUCUCUUCGAUGGUGAUCCUGAGUGCGUUCUCAAAGGAAGCAGCAGCGUUAGAGACAGUGUGUCUCCAGACCUCUCGAUUGGAGGCCAGAGUAG